rnacentral:rRNA from 1 species
CUCCUACGGGAGGCUGCAGCGACGAAUCUUCCGCAAUGGGCGCAAGCCUGACGGAGCAAUGCCGCGUGCGGGAUGAAGCGGCUUCGCCGUGUAAACCGCUGUCAGGUCCCAGGAACACUGACCGGGACCAGAGGAAGGGCCGGCUAACCUCGUGCCAGCAGCCGCGGUAAUACGAGGGGCCCGAGCGUUAAUCGGAAUCACUGGGCUUAAAGGGUGCGCAGGCUGGCCCGAAAGCGUCUUGUGAAAGCCCCCGGCUCAACCGGGGAACAGCGGGGCGAACUUCGGGUCUUGAGGCAGGUAGGGGCGGAUGGAACUGUCGGUGGAGCGGUGGAAUGCGUAGAUAUCGACAGGAACGCCGAUGGCGAAGGCAGUCCGCUGGGCCUGUCCUGACGCUCAGGCACGAAAGCGUGGGGAGCAAACAGGAUUAGAUACCCUGGUAGUCCACGCCGUAAACGAUGCACACUAGAUCGGAGUGGUUCUCAUGCCUUUCCGGUCGAAGCAAAAGCGCUUAGUGUGCCGCCUGGGGAGUACGGUCGCAAGGCUAAAACUCAAAGGAAUUGACGGGGGCUCACACAAGCGGUGGAGCAUGUUGCUUAAUUCGAGGCAACGCGAAGAACCUUACCUGGGCUUGACAUGCACGGAUUAACUCCCUGAAAGGGGAGCCACGCCCGCAAGGGUGGAACGUGCACAGGUGUUGCAUGGCUGUCGUCAGCUCGUGCUGUGAAGUGUCGGGUUAAGUCCCUUAACGAGCGCAACCCCUGUCGCUAGUUGCUAACGGGUAAUGCCGAGGACUCUAGCGAGACUGCCGGUGUCAAACCGGAGGAAGGUGGGGAUGACGUCAAGUCCUCAUGGCCCUUAUGUCCAGGGAUGCUAACGUGCUACAAUGGCGCGUACAGAGCGAAGCGAGGCCGCGAGGCGGAGCAAAUCGCAAAAAGCGCGCCCCAGUUCGGAUUGCAGGCUGCAACUCGCCUGCAUGAAGCCGGAAUCGCUAGUAAUCGGAGAUCAGCUACGCUCCGGUGAAUACGUUCCUGAGCCUUGAUCACACCGCCCGUC